rnacentral:misc_RNA from 1 species
GAUGAAGAACGUAGCGAAAUGCGAUAAGUAAUGUGAAUUGCAGAAUUCAGUGAAUCAUCGAAUCUUUGAACGCACCUUGCGCCCUUUGGCUAUUCCGAAGGGCAUGCCUGUUUGAGUAUCAUGAACACCUCAACUCUCAUGGCUUGCUGUGAUGAGCUUGGAAUUUGGGGGUCUUGUUGGCUUGUGAGCCAGCUCCUCCUAAAUGAAUUAGCUUGCCGGUGUUUGGUGGCAUCACAGGUGUGAUAACUAUCUACUCUUGUGGUUUCCCAUCAGGUAACCUCCAGUGAUGGAGGUUCGCUGGGGCUCAUAAAUGUCUCUCCUCAGUGAGGACAGAUUUUGACUGUUUGAUCUCAAAACAGGUAGGACUACCCGCUGAACUUAAGCAUAUCAAUAAGCGGAGGA